GACGAACGCUGGCGGCAUGCCUAACACAUGCAAGUCGAACGAAAACUUCCGGCUUUGGUGCGGACGGGGGAGGACGACGUGGUAAGGAACCCGUAGGUUCCCUAUAACUCAGUGAGACUUAUGUUAAUAAAAAUGGGGCCAUUCGCGGGAAGGAGCUAUUGCCGUUAGGUGGGCGCGGGUCUGUUUAGCCGGUUGGGGAGGUACAGGCACACCAAGGCGACGUUCAGUAGCUGGUGUGGGACCAUGAUACUCCACAUUGGGACUGAGACACGGACCAAACUCCUACGGGAGGCAGCAGUGGGGAAUCUUGCGCACUGGGCGAAAGACUGACGAAGCCAUGCCGCGUGAAUGAUGCAGGUGUUAGGAUUGUAAAAUUCUUUCACAGGGGACGAUAAUGACGGUACCCGGAGAAGAAGCCCCGGCUAACUUCGUG
rnacentral:rRNA from 1 species